UAUUCAUACAGUUAUUAUUGGUACUAAUUGGUAACUGAUAGCACUCGUAGACAAUUGAAAAACCAAGUUAAUAUAAAUAUUAUAAUGGAACAACUUAGCUGCGUGGGUUUUGUGCAUCGUUGCGAAAGGAUUCGUUCAUAGUUGGAGCGACAACAGCAGAAGCAUUAGCAGGAGAAUAACUGAGCUGUUAACAGAGGGCAGAAAUGCGAUGCGUUAAAGGAGCCUCGUUGGCCAAUUGGCAGCCACGGCCGCUGCAGCUAGUCCUCGGUCUGACCAGCCAAUGGCAGCGCGGCGGUUGAAAGUUCAAGUCGGCUGCAGGCAGCGUAAUGCACUUGGCAAACGUUCAAAGCGAACAGCAAGUGGCACACACACACACACAUGCAGACAUGCACACAUACACUCACACAGCCAUUGGGAAAGCGAGCUGUGAUUGCUGGGCUCACACGCGCAUGAGGAAAAUGUUGAUAAUAAAUCACGCAUACGCCUGUUGGCACAGCAAGAACUAUGCUCCUUCGAAAGUGCUUGUGUGUGUCCCUGUGUGAGUGUGCCUCAGUGUGUGUGUGUGUGCGAAGACUUGCACAGGCUGUUGGCCAACUGCAGUGCGCUGCUCGUUUUUAGACCGGCUCGAGCGAACGUUGGCCGC